rnacentral:rRNA from 1 species
GUGCCAGCAGCCGCGGUAAUACGUAGGUGGCGAGCGUUGUCCGGAAUUACUGGGUGUAAAGGGCGUGUAGGCGGGAAUGUAAGUCAGAUGUGAAAUUCCGUGGCUUAACCACGGGGCUGCAUCUGAAACUAUGUUACUUGAGUGCUGGAGAGGGAAGCGGAAUUCCUAGUGUAGCGGUGAAAUGCGUAGAUAUUAGGAGGAACACCAGUGGCGAAGGCGGCUUUCUGGACAGUAACUGACGCUGAGGCGCGAAAGCGUGGGGAGCAAACAGGAUUAGAUACCCUGGUAGUCCACGCUGUAAACGAUGGAUACUAGGUGUAGGGGGUAUCGACCCCUUCUGUGCCGGAGUUAACACAAUAAGUAUCCCACCUGGGGAGUACGGCCGCAAGGUUGAA